CGGGUUCUGCCCUUCGCGUGCGGCUGCAUUCCAGUGGCCUUAAGCAACUCCGAGGGAGCUGGCUCUGUUCGGAUCCUGGUCCGAUUACCCGGCGCCCACCUGUACAUACAGGUCCUCGGGAAUCAUCGCCCCACGGUUGCCGGCGGUCCCGUC
rnacentral:misc_RNA from 1 species